GCGGUCGGGGUCCGUCACCCUCAGACGAACCCCAACACACUGCUAAUGCGGUUUGGGCCUUAAAGCCCAUCGAGGGUUCAAAUCCCUCCGCCUCCGCG
rnacentral:tRNA from 1 species